rnacentral:hammerhead_ribozyme from 1 species
GUACUACCGAUGCGUCCCUAAAUAGGACGAAACAGCUGUCCAGUAC